CCUACGGGGGGCUGCAGUAACGAAUCUUCCGCAAUGCGCGCAAGCGUGACGGAGCGACGCCGCGUGUGGGACGAAGCCCCUCGGGGUGUAAACCACUGUCAGGGGUUACCAAGAUCUGAGGAGCCCCAGAGGAAGGCACGGCUAACUCUGUGCCAGCAGCCGCGGUAAGACAGAGGUGCCGAGCGUUAGGCGGAAUCACUGGGCUUAAAGCGUGUGUAGGCGGACGGCUAAGUGCCUUGUGAAAUCCCCCGGCUCAACCGGGGAACGGCUCGGCAUACUGGUCGUCUUGGGCAACCUAGGGGCGAGCGGAACAAACGGUGGAGCGGUGAAAUGCGUAGAUAUCGUUUGGAACGCCGACGGUGAAAACAGCUCGCUGGGGGUUCGCCGACGCUGAGACACGAAAGCCAGGGGAGCGAACGGGAUUAGAUACCCCAGUAGUC
rnacentral:rRNA from 1 species